rnacentral:rRNA from 1 species
UACGUAGGGAGCAAGCGUUGUCCGGAAUCAUUGGGCGUAAAGAGCUCGUAGGCGGUUUGUUGCGUCGGCUGUGAAAUCCCGAGGCUCAACCUCGGGUCUGCAGUCGAUACGAGCAAACUAGAGUGUUGCAGGGGAGACUGGAAUUCCUGGUGUAGCGGUGAAAUGCGCAGAUAUCAGGAGGAACACCGGUGGCGAAGGCGGGUCUCUGGGCAACAACUGACGCUGAGGAGCGAAAGCGUGGGGAGCGAACAGG